GGAGGGGUGCGUGAGAUGGCUGAAACGACGGCUCUCGAAAAGCCGCAGGGCAGCAAUGCCCUCGAGGGUUCGAAUCCCUCCCCCUCCGCCA
rnacentral:tRNA from 1 species